rnacentral:rRNA from 1 species
GGACCUGACUGCUAUCGGAUUGAUACUAAGCCAUGCGAGUCAUUGUAGCAAUACAAGGCAGACGGCUCAGUAACGCGUAGUCAACCUAACCUAUGGACGGGAAUAACCUCGGGAAACUGAGAAUAAUGCCCGAUAGAACACUAUACCUGGAAUGGUUUGUGUUCCAAAUGAUUUAUCGCCGUAGGAUGGGACUGCGGCCUAUCAGUUUGUUGGUGAGGUAAUGGCCCACCAAGACUAUUACAGGUACGGGCUCUGAGAGGAGUAGCCCGGAGAUGGGUACUGAGACACGGACCCAGGCCCUAUGGGGCGCAGCAGGCGAGAAAACUUUGCAAUGUGCGAAAGCACGACAAGGUUAAUCCGAGUGGUUUCUGCUAAAGGAACCUUUUGUCGGUCCUAGAAACACCGAUGAAUAAGGGGUGGGCAAGUUCUGGUGU